rnacentral:rRNA from 1 species
AUUGAACGCUGGCGGCAGGCCUAACACAUGCAAGUCGAGCGGAUGACGGGAGCUUGCUCCUUGAUUCAGCGGCGGACGGGUGAGUAAUGCCUAGGAAUCUGCCUGGUAGUGGGGGACAACGUUUCGAAAGGAACGCUAAUACCGCAUACGUCCUCCGGGAGAAAGCAGGGGACCUUCGGUCCUUGCGCUAUCAGAUGAGCCUAGGUCGGAUUAGCUAGGUGGUGAGGUAAUGGCUCACCAAGGCGACGCUCCGUAACUGGUCUGAGAGGAUGGUCAGCGACAUUGGAACUGAGACACGGUGCAUACGCCUGCGAGAGGCAGCAGGGGGGAAUAUUGGACAAUGGGCGAAGGCCUGAUGCAGGCAUGCCGAGUGGGUGAAGAAGGUCUUCGGAUUGUAAAGCACUUUAAGUUGGGAGGAAGGGCAGUAAGCGAAUACCUUGCUGUUUUGACGUUACCGACAGAAUAAGCACCGGCUAACUCUGUGCCAGCAGCCGCGGUAA